GCAGCCCCCCAAGUAACUGGGAUUAAAGGUGCAAGCACUGUGCCCAACAAUCAUGGCUUUUAAUAGCAUAAUUAAGUAAAUAUAGGGGGAGGUAGAAGAUGCAAUGAAGGGUACUGCUGCUCUGGAUCUAUUUACACCCAAUGAGGAAGCAUUGCUUGGCAGAAAUGAAGACUUAAAGGA